UACGUAGGGCGCAAGCGUUGUCCGGAAUUAUUGGGCGUAAAGAGCUCGUAGGCGGCUUGUCACGUCGGGUGUGAAAGCCCGGGGCUUAACCCCGGGUCUGCAUUCGAUACGGGCUGGCUAGAGUGUGGUAGGGGAGAUCGGAAUUCCUGGUGUAGCGGUGAAAUGCGCAGAUAUCAGGAGGAACACCGGUGGCGAAGGCGGGUCUCUGGGCCGAUACUGACGCUGAGGCGCGAGAGCGUGGGGAGCGAACCGG
rnacentral:rRNA from 1 species